UUUUUUUAUUGGUUCUAAGAUAAAAAUAAUGAUUAAUAGGGACAGUUGGGGGCAUUUGUAUUUAACAGUCAGAGGUGAUAUUCUUAGAUUUGUUAAAGACAAACUAAUGCGAAAGCAUUUGCCAAGGAUGUUUUCAUUAAUCAAGAACGAAAGUUAGGGGAUCGAAGACGAUCAGAUACCGUCGUAGUCUUAACCAUAA
rnacentral:rRNA from 1 species